rnacentral:rRNA from 1 species
GAUGAACGCUGGCGGCGUGCCUAAUACAUGCAAGUAGAACGCUGAAGCUUGGUGCUUGCACCGAGCGGAUGAGUUGCGAACGGGUGAGUAACGCGUAGGUAACCUGCCUCUUAGCGGGGGAUAACUAUUGGAAACGAUAGCUAAUACCGCAUAAAAGUCGAUAUCGCAUGAUAUUGAUUUGAAAGGUGCAAAUGCAUCACUAAGAGAUGGACCUGCGUUGUAUUAGCUAGUUGGUGAGGUAACGGCUCACCAAGGCGACGAUACAUAGCCGACCUGAGAGGGUGAUCGGCCACACUGGGACUGAGACACGGCCCAGACUCCUACGGGAGGCAGCAGUAGGGAAUCUUCGGCAAUGGGGGCAACCCUGACCGAGCAACGCCGCGUGAGUGAAGAAGGUUUUCGGAUCGUAAAGCUCUGUUGUAAGAGAAGAACGAGUGUGAGAGUGGAAAGUUCACACUGUGACGGUACUUACCAGAAAG